GAUGAACGCUGGCGGCGUGCUUAACACAUGCAAGUCGAACGGAAAGGCUCCGGCUUGCAGGGGUACUCGAGUGGCGAACGGGUGAGUAACACGUGGGUGAUCUGCCCUGCACUUCGGGAUAAGCCUGGGAAACUGGGUCUAAUACCGGAUAGGACCACAUUUUGGAUGGUGUGGUGGAAAGUUUUUCGGUGUGGGAUGAGCUCGCGGCCUAUCAGCUUGUUGGUGGGGUAAUGGCCUACCAAGGCGUCGACGGGUAGCCGGCCUGAGAGGGUGUACGGCCACAUUGGGACUGAGAUACGGCCCAGACUCCUACGGGAGGCAGCAGUGGGGAAUAUUGCACAAUGGGCGCAAGCCUGAUGCAGCGACGCCGCGUGGGGGAUGACGGCCUUCGGGUUGUAAACUCCUUUCGCUAGGGACGAAGCGCAAGUGACGGUACCUGGAGAAGAAGCACCGGCUAACUAUGUG
rnacentral:rRNA from 1 species